CGAACGGAAAGGCCCUGCUUGCAGGGUACUCGAGUGGCGAACGGGUGAGUAACACGUGGGUGAUCUGCCCUGCACUUCGGGAUAAGCUUGGGAAACUGGGUCUAAUACCGGAUAGGAACCAUCUUUAGUGUGGUGGUUGGAAAGUUUUUUCGGUGUAGGAUGAGCUCGCGGCCUAUCAGCUUGUUGGUGGGGUAAUGGCCUACCAAGGCGGCGACGGGUAGCCGGCCUGAGAGGGUGUACGGCCACAUUGGGACUGAGAUACGGCCCAGACUCCUACGGGAGGCAGCAGUGGGGAAUAUUGCACAAUGGGCGCAAGCCUGAUGCAGCGACGCCGCGUGGGGGAUGAAGGCCUUCGGGUUGUAAACUCCUUUCGCUAGGGACGAAGCUUUUUGUGACGGUACCUAGAUAAGAAGCACCGGCUAACUACGUGCCAGCAGCCGCGGUAAUACGUAGGGUGCGAGCGUUGUCCGGAAUUACUGGGCGUAAAGGGCUCGUAGGUGGUUUGUCGCGUCGUCUGUGAAAUUCUGGGGCUUAACUCCGGGCGUGCAGGCGAUACGGGCAUAACUUGAGUGCUGUAGGGGUAACUGGAAUUCCUGGUGUAGCGGUGAAAUGCGCAGAUAUCAGGAGGAACACCGAUGGCGAAGGCAGGUUACUGGGCAGUUACUGACGCUGAGGAGCGAAAGCAUGGGUAGCGAACAGGAUUAGA
rnacentral:rRNA from 1 species